AUAAAUAUAAUUAUAAUAAAUGUUCAUUAUAUGUUGAAAAUUACAAAAUCUGCAAAAAAUUUUGGGCAAAGAUAAUAAAUUAUCGAAAGAUAAAAAAUAUAAAACCCUAUGUUCCUUUACCAGAAGAACGACAAAAAAUAAAAGCAGAAUAUUUACAAUCACAAAAUAAAUAAUCUUUCAUGUAAUUUUGACAUACUGAAGAAUUGUAAUCGUAUAAUGGAUUAAAAUUUUUUUUUUUAUUAUAA